rnacentral:rRNA from 1 species
UUUUGGGAGGUUCGAAGACGAUCAGAUACCGUCGUAGUUCCGACCGUAAACGAUGCCGACCCGCAAUCCGGCGGCGUUAUUCCCAUGACCCGCCGAGCAGCGUGAGGGAAACCAAGAGUCUUUGGGUUCCGGGGGGAGUAUGGUUGCAAAGCUGAAACUUAAAGGAAUUGACGGAAGGGCACCACCAGGAGUGGAGCCUGCGGCUUAAUUUGACUCAACACGGGAAACCUCACCCGGCCCGGACACGGAAAGGAUUGACAGAUUGAUAGCUCUUUCUCGAUUCUGUGGGUGGUGGUGCAUGGCCGUUCUUAGUUGGUGGAGCGAUUUGUCUGGUUCAUUCCGAUAACGAACGAGACUCCGGCUUGCUAAAUAGUUACGCGGCCCCGUGCGGUCGGCGUUCAACUUCUUAGAAGGACAAGUGGCGUUCAGCCACGCGAGAUGGAGCAAUAACAGGUCUGUGAUGCCCUUAGAUGUCCGGGGCUGCACGCGCGCCACAAUGGGUGGAUCAGCGUGUGUCUACCCA